rnacentral:rRNA from 1 species
GACAGAGGAUGCAAGCGUUAUCCGGAAUGAUUGGGCGUAAAGCGUCUGUAGGUGGCUUUUUAAGUCCGCCGUCAAAUCCCAGGGCUCAACCCUGGACAGGCGGUGGAAACUACCAAGCUGGAGUACGGUAGGGGCAGAGGGAAUUUCCGGUGGAGCGGUGAAAUGACGUGAGAUAUCAGGAGGAACACCGAUGGCGAAGGCAGGUCUCUGGGCCACUACUGACGCUGAGAAGCGAAAGCAUGGGGAGCGAACAGG